UUUUUAAAUGUUUGAAUGUCUCUAUAUUUUCAGUGUUAAAUUUCCCAGUUCCCCAUUUCUCCUCUUUAUGCUACCCUCUCUGCAACAUCAUCUGAAUGCGCAACGUUAUUUUCCACACAAACGCUGAAAACAUCCAGCUCUCCUUCUAGUCCCUAAUGUUGAAAUGACCACCUUUUUAUGGUUUAUUUUUCAGAUAUUUCUGUCCUGUCUUACACGGAUUUCAAUUGUCUCCCUAUAUCCGAGGUCUCCUACAGGAAGGACAAGGGUUGGAUCUUUGUAACAUCCUUCAACUUGAAUAAAACUAUCCACGAUCCAAGCGUGUUCACACCUCCUCCAGAGUGCUCUCAUCUGAACUAAUCGCUGAGACUAUUCUCUCGUGGAACUGGUGGAACUAUCAGAUUUAGUCUAAUAAAGAAUGAUUGUACCAC